GAUGAACGCUGGCGGCGUGCCUAAUACAUGCAAGUCGAACGAACCGCCGCUAAGUUUUUUUCUUUGGUCUUAGCGGCUGGCGAAUGGGUGACACAUGCAUAACUUACCUAUCUCAUUGUGGUAACUACGAGACAGCGGCGCUUACUACUGCUGAUUUUUUGAUCCGCAUGGUUCAUCAGUUAAAGACGGUCUUCCUGUCCCAUCUCUAUGAAUUCGCCCUGCAUUAGCUAGUUGGUAAGGUAACGGCUUACCAAGGCAACGAUGCAUAGCCGACCUGAGAGGGUGAUCGGCCACAUUGGAACUGAGACACGGUCCAAACUCCUACGGGAGGCAGCAGUAGGGAAUCUUCCGCAAUGGGCGAAAGUCUGACGGAGCAACGCCGCGUGAGUGAAGAGGGUCUUCGGAUCGUAAAACUCUGUUGUUAGGGAAGAACAGAGGAGAGAGUAACUGCGAAGAGUGUGACGGUAUCUAAUCAGAAAGCCACGGCUAACUACGUG
rnacentral:rRNA from 1 species